AAACCUGAGCUUGGGUGGGAGAUCCCUAGGAGAGUUCUUGGUGAAGUCUCUGACUAGCCUUCAAAAAUAAUGAAGUCAUGCAUGAUGACACUCUUUGUUUCUGGUCUUCUGCUUAUUUUAGUGUUCCUGCCAGAGAGGGUAAACAACUUUGGAAGAUUCAGCAAAUGCACUCAAUGCCUCAGUGCAGAAAAACAAAUGGAUAUCCAGAUAGGAUUCCCAGGAACAUUUCUGCUGUCUGCUUGGUGACAGAGUCCCCAGGACAGAGCCCGAGGGGUAGGAUUCCAGAGACAAAAAGAAGUGAGACAAGAGAAUGAGGAAGAACAAGUACAAAAAGGGUAUGUGGCCGACGUGGCCAGAACCCAUGACCAACGAACGCAACAGCCGAUUGAACCCAUGUCAAGUACAGCCGUCGAUUAGCCUGCAGAGACAUCUGCAAAGAAACCACGUGAAAAGAAUGGCUUCUUGGGGAAAGUCCUUUGGGACCUCAUGUAUCCCAGGCUGGUCUCCAACUUACUAAGUACCUGAAGGUCACCUUGAACUUUGAUCUUUCUGUCUCCACCUCCCAAGCACUAAAAGCACAGUGUCAGUGCUCUGAGAUCCCAGCACCCCUGAUGAUGGCAAGGUUGGAAUGUGCCUCUGUAUUUCAUCUGCCCCAGCGGCCUUCAUA